GGCCGUGCUGCGGGCCCUCUGACGGGAGUCGCUGACGGCGCCUACGUGUCACCGUGGAAACCAAACAGUAAAUAGAGGACUCCAGAGCUCUUGGCACUGCCUGCCCCAGCGACCAGGCGUUGGAGACACGCUUCCGGGGCUCAACAUUUCAGCACUGCCACUGCCUUUGGAUGAUCUGGAGCAAAUCACAAUCGUCUGCGCCCCAGACUGUCACUAUCUACAAAAUGUACCAGGAUCUACCUUAAAGAGUAAUAUUGAGGGCCACGGAUUUAGCUCAGUGGUUCCGACGCCUGCCCUGCAAGCACAAGGACCCGAAUUCGAUCCCCGGUACCAAAAAGAUUAAAUAAAUAAAUAAAUAAUAUUGAGAACUU